rnacentral:rRNA from 1 species
UACGAAGGGGGCUAGCGUUGUUCGGAUUUACUGGGCGUAAAGGGCGCGUAGGCGGCCGAUCAAGUCAGGCGUGAAAGCCCCGGGCUCAACCUGGGAAUGGCGCUUGGGACUGGUUGGCUUGAGUUCGGGAGAGGAGAGUGGAAUUCCCAGUGUAGAGGUGAAAUUCGUAGAUAUUGGGAAGAACACCGGUGGCGAAGGCGGCGACCUGGUCCGAUACUGACGCUGAGGCGCGAAAGCGUGGGGAGCAAACAGG